GGAGGGGUGGCCGAGCGGUCUAAGGCGCACGCCUGGAAAGCGUGUUGGGCGCAAGCCCUCACGGGUUCGAAUCCCGUCCCCUCCGCCA
rnacentral:tRNA from 2 species